rnacentral:rRNA from 1 species
GACGAACGCUGGCGGCGUGCCUAAUACAUGCAAGUAGAACGCUGAAGCGAGGAGCUUGCUCUUCUUGGAUGAGUUGCGAACGGGUGAGUAACGCGUAGGUCACCUGCCUUGUAGCGGGGGAUAGCUAUUGGAAACGAUAGCUAAUACCGCAUAACAAUGGAUGACACAUGUCAUUUAUUUGAAAGGGGCAAUUGCUCCACUACAAGAUGGACCUGCGUUGUAUUAGCUAGUAGGUGAGGUAAUGGCUCACCUAGGCGACGAUACAUAGCCGACCUGAGAGGGUGAUCGGCCACACUGGGACUGAGACACGGCCCAGACUCCUACGGGAGGCAGCAGUAGGGAAACUUCGGCAAUGGGGGCAACCCUGACCGAGCAACGCCGCGUGAGGGAAGAAGGGUUUCGGAUCGUAAAGCUCUGUUGUAAGUCAAGAACGGGUGUGAGAGUGGAAAGUUCACACUGUGACGGUAGCUUACCAGAAAGGGACGGCUAACUACGUG